rnacentral:rRNA from 1 species
UACGAAGGGGGCUAGCGUUGCUCGGAAUCACUGGGCGUAAAGAGCACGUAGGCGGCUUGUUAAGUCAGGGGUGAAAUCCUGGAGCUCAACUCCAGAACUGCCUUUGAUACUGGCGAGCUUGAGUUCGGGAGAGGUGAGUGGAACUGCGAGUGUAGAGGUGAAAUUCGUAGAUAUUCGCAAGAACACCAGUGGCGAAGGCGGCUCACUGGCCCGAUACUGACGCUGAGGUGCGAAAGCGUGGGGAGCAAACAGG